rnacentral:rRNA from 1 species
AGAGUUUGAUCCUGGCUCAGGAUGAAGCUAGCUACAGGCUUAACACAUGCAAGUCGAGGGGAAACGAUAUUGGAAGCUUGCUUCCGAUAGGCGUCGACCGGCGUACGGGUGAGUAACGCGUAUCCAACCUGCCACCACUUGGGGAUAACCUUGCGAAAGUAAGACUAAUACCCAAUGACGUCUCUAGAAGACAUCUGAAAGAGAUUAAAGAUUUAUCGGUGAUGGACGGGGAUGCGUCUGAUUAGCUUGUUGGCGGGGUAACGGCCCACCAAGGCGACGAUCAGUAGGGGUUCUGAGAGGAAGGCCCCCCACAUUGGAACUGAGACACGGUCCAAACUCCUACGGGAGGCAGCA